CAGCCGCCGCGGUAAUACGGAGGGGGCAAGCGUUAUCCGGAAUUAUUGGGCGUAAAGGGUACGUAGGUGGCCUUUUAAGCGUAGGGUAUAAGGCAAUGGCUCAACCAUUGUUCGCCCUAUGAACUGGAAGGCUUGAGUGCAGGAGAGGAAAGCGGAAUUCCUAGUGUAGCGGUGGAAUGCAUGGAUAUUAGGAGGAACAUCAGCGGCGAAAGCACUCUGCUGGGCCGACACUGACACUGAGAGACGAAAGCUAGGGGAGCAAAUGGGAUUAGAUACCCGAGUAGUCCCUGUCUCUUAUACA
rnacentral:rRNA from 1 species